rnacentral:rRNA from 1 species
UACGAAGGGGGCUAGCGUUGCUCGGAAUCACUGGGCGUAAAGGGGCGCGUAGGCGGGCGGUCAAGUCGGGGGUGAAAUCUUUCAGCUUAACUGGAAAAAGUGCCUCCGAUACUGAUCGCCUCGAGGGAGGUAGGGGCAUGUGGAACUUCCGGUGAAGCGGUGAAAUGCGUGAGAUAUCGGAAGGAACGCCGGUGGCGAAAGCGACGUGCUGGACCUCUUCUGACGCUGAGGCGCGAAAGCUAGGGGAGCAAACGGG